GAUUUAGAAGAGCUAAGUAAUCAUUGUUUAUAGAUUAUUUCUUAAAUAUUGCAAAUAUUUAAAGAAAAUUUUUACUUAGGGGUGAAAUGCUUCCAAUUCUUAGAAUAACUGGAUUUAAUUUAAAUGCCUUAAGUGCAGAAUAAUUUUUUGACUUUCAAAGUGUUAAGAAUUUGAAAAAGUUUUAAGUUUAUUUUGUUUAAUUAUAAGAAUUAAAUUUUUUAAUAAUUUAAGAGUUUAUAAUUAUUUUUAAGUUAAUUAAAAAAUAUAAAUUAAAAUGUCUAUAUAUAUUCAAUUUUCACAUAUAUAAUGUUAGAAUAAGUAUAUAUAUUUAAUAAAUCUUUUAAAGGAACUCGGCAAAUGUUUUUUUCGACUGUUUAACAAAAACAUAGCUUUAUGGUUUUAUAUAAAGUUUUUCCUGCCCAGUGAUUUUUUAACGGCCGCAGUACCCUGACUGUGCUAAGGUAGCAUAAUAAAUUGGCUUUUAAAUGAAGUCUAGCAUCAAUGGAUAAACGGAAAAUAGCUGUCUUAAGAAGAGUAUAUAAAAAUUAACUUUAAGGUGAAAAUGCCUUUAUUUUUUUAUAGACAAGAAGACCCUUAGAAUUUUCAGAAUAUUUCUUAAAUCUUUUUGUUGGGGCGACAAGGUAACAUUUAACUUACCUAAAAAAUUUCUACAUAUCAAAAUUUUUAGUUUAGAAUAAAUUACCUGAGGGAUAACAGCAUAAUAAAUAUUUUUUGUUUGUGACCUCGAUGUUGGAUUAGGAUAUGGUGAAACUAGCCGUUUCACUAAAAAGUUCUGUUCGAACUAGUUUUCCUACAUGAUCUGAGUUCAGACCGGCGUAAGCCAGGUCAG
rnacentral:rRNA from 1 species